AACAGUACCUGUCUCAUUCCUACUUUGCCCUCAUAGCAAUGCACCGUUUCUGCUCAUGUGUGAGUUUCCAAGUUACAGGGCAAAUGAGCUGACAGUGGGGACUCUGGGGAGAUUCAGCUGCAGGGCUUAGAUGAAAGGUGCUCUGGUGAUCAGAGGAGCUGGCCAAUGAGAGAGAGAAGUAACUGGAUCAACACAAAACAUUCUGGGCACACUAGAAAUUGAAGCAUUAUUUUUUAAGACAAAUAAUACUGUAGACUACCUAAGGCAGGAUGAAAUACAUCACGUUUGCUUAUGCGGGCUUUCCAAGUUACAUCAAAGCAUCCCGCACUGCUCUUCUUACGCGGACUCCUGGAGACUCCCCUUUUAUCAGUACAGAGCCCAGCACAGAAUCCUAAGUGAUU
rnacentral:lncRNA from 1 species